GAUGAAGAACGUAGUGAAAUGCGAUAAGUAAUGUGAAUUGCAGAAUUCAGUGAAUCAUCGAAUCUUUGAACGCACAUUGCGCCCCCUGGUAUUCCGGGGGGCAUGCCUGUUCGAGCGUCAUUUCACCACUCAAGCCUCGCUUGGUAUUGGGCAACGCGGUCCGCCGCGUGCCUCAAAUCGACCGGCUGGGUCUUCUGUCCCCUAAGCGUUGUGGAAACUAUUCGCUAAAGGGUGCUCGGGAGGCUACGCCGUAAAACAAACCCAUUUCUAAGGUUGACCUCGGAUCAGGUAGGAAUACCCGCUGAACUUAAGCAUAUCAAUAAGCGGAGGA
rnacentral:misc_RNA from 1 species